rnacentral:rRNA from 1 species
AGGGGUGCGGCGUGCGGUUUAAUCUAACUCCACGCAGAGAACCUUACUAGAAGCGACGGCAGGAAGAAGGUCAGCUUGAAGAGCUUACCUGACGAGCCGAGAGGUAGUGCAUGGCCGCCGUCAGCUCGUGCCGUAAGGUGUCCAGUUAAGUCUGGCAACGAGCGAGACCUAUGCCUACAAUUGCUAAUUAUCUUUUUCGAGGUAAUGCACAUUGUGGGGACUGCCUUGGAAACAAGGAGGAAGGUGUAGGCGACGGUAGGUCUGUAUAGCCCGAAUCUCUUGGGCUACACGCGCGCAACAAUGGUUGGGACAAUGGGAUGCAACUCCGAAAGGAGAAGCUAAACCUCUAAACUCUAUCCAAGUCCAGAUUGUGGAUUGUAACUGAUCCACAUGACGAUGGAAUCCCUAGUAAUCGAGUAUCAUCAGUGCCCGGUGAAUAUGUCCCUGCUCCUUGCACACACCGCCCGUCAAACCACUCGAGCAUGGUUUAGGUGAGGGUUAGUUAUUUUGAUUGAUUCGAAUCUAAGCCAAGUGAGAUGGGUUAAGUCGUCACAAGGUAGCCGUAGGGGAA